rnacentral:rRNA from 1 species
GACGAACGCUGGCGGCGUGCUUAAUACAUGCAAGUCGAGCGAAAAGACCAGGAGCUUGCUCCUCUGACGUUAGCCGCGGAAGGGAGAGUAACACGUGCAUCACCUACCUCUAAGACUGGGAUGACUUCGGGAGACCGGUGCUAGUACCGGCUAAUCUAUUCAACCGCAUUGGUCAAUAGUGAAAUACGGUGUUGCUGUCACCGCUAGCUGGAUCCGCGCCGCAUGAGCUAGUUGGUAAGGUAACGGCUUACCAAGGCAACGAUGCGUAGCCGACCUGAGAGGGUGAUCGGCCACACUGGAACUGAGACACGGUCCAGACUCCUAAGGGAGGCAGCAGUCGGGAAUCUUCCGCAAUGGGCGGAAGCCUGACGGAGCAACGGCGCGUGAGUGAUGAGGGUCUUCGGAGCGUAAAACUCUGUUAUUAGGGAAUAACAAAUGUGUAAGUAACUAUGCACGUCUUGACGGUACCUAAUCAGAAAGCCACGGCUAACUACGUG